UACGUAGGGUCCAAGCGUUGUCCGGAUUUAUUGGGCGUAAAGAGCGUGUAGGCGGCCAGACAGGUCCGUUGUGAAAACUCGAGGCUCAACCUCGAGACGUCGAUGGAAACCGUCUGGCUAGAGUCCGGAAGAGGAGUGUGGAAUUCCUGGUGUAGCGGUGAAAUGCGCAGAUAUCAGGAAGAACACCUAUGGCGAAGGCAGCACUCUGGGACGGUACUGACGCUGAGACGCGAAAGCGUGGGGAGCGAACAGG
rnacentral:rRNA from 1 species